UUGAAAGGGAUCGCAUACUUUCCGCUCAGUGCGAUAGUGGAGGUAACAUUCUUGCGCUUGGUAAAGUACUUCGAAAACACAAGUGCUGCAGCAAACAAAGCAAUCGACAACCCAUCAAUUAACUUCCCGGAGCGUGUCCAGGUUGACAUGAAUUACAAAAUGCAGAAGUCCGAGAUGCAUACACUUACGUAUACGUAUGCAGAUGAGAAGAAUGCUCGUGGUGAGGUAUUGGAUCGGAAGUUUACAGUUAAGGGAAGGAAGAGGGAGGCGACCGUUCACCUGAAGUCGGAAUAUACCUACAUCAUGAAUAAGUCUGAAGGAUCCACAGUUGAAAAAACUGCCACCUGUUCAUGCAGCAAGCCGCAACUACUUCACAAGCCUUGCUUGAUAGAUCCCGUGAAUCGUCAAAGCUAGAUGUGUUCGGUAAUAGUAAUAGAUCAUUACCUUGUGAUGAACUCGAUGAGCUCCCUCCGGUCGUCCAUCGUGAGGUGAUGACGAUGGUGGGGAAGGAGAGAGAUGUGACAGCGGCGGCGAUGGACUUCCCAUCGCUUCAGUGCAUCCCUCUAGAUCGGAUUAGGGUUAGAGAGUGGGGAACCAGUGGCGGCAGCGAACCUCGUAACCCUUGCCAUGGUCCCCACCUCCUCUACAUAUAGCAUUGCGCGACAGGGGCCCACCAGCCUUGCUUGGGCUGGACGCCACCGAUCAGGGCGUGAGUCAAGGUUCAAUGGGCCGUUGGGCCCAUUGGGAAAGAGAUCAAUCUAACAUUCUCCCCCUUGAUCUCAUCAUAUACUUUUAACUUUACCCGUUUCGUAACAGAUCAAUACAUAGGGCAUGUUUCAUCGUCACGGCUCAAUUGCCGAUGGAAUCAGACAGCCACAAUGUACCUCUCUAUUUUUGAGACAGAUUCUUUAACUUGGGCCCUUUGUUGUUCGGAAAUAUUAGACUAUACCAUAAAACCCAUGUCGAUUGUGUGUUCUCCGAACACACUGGGCGGUAAGCCUUUGAUAAGCAGAUCUGCAAACACUUGUUUGUUGCUUUUAUGCUUCAAGCGUUUUUUCCAUAAUUCCGGACUUUCUCCUUCACAACACGUAACUCUUUGUCAGUUUGUUUGGCAUCAACACUUGACUCGUUGUGGCAGGAGCGAAAGAAUUUAAAAUGGUUAUCGUUGUUGUCAACCAUUAUCAACUCCGGGUAUAGGUAGCCAUUAACCAUUUCGCCUAUCCCUCAGCCUCAUAUCAAGUUAUAACAUAUCAUUGCAUCACAUUGAUGACAAUGGUUUCACUCAUUUGGAGAUUUUCCACACAAAACUCCGAGUAUGAAAGUUAGCGACAAUUGUGGAUUUCGCUAUACAUUUCACAAGUCCUCCUUUGUACUCACAAUGUUUUGAGAGCACUUAUUUCUUUCAGCAUGAGGCCGAUAUCUUUAAAUCCAUUCCAUUAAUUUAUCUAUGGACUGGACAUUGCCAAAACAACCCGGAUAUAUACGUGAACUGUGUCACGGUAAUAUCUUGAGCUUCCAACAACUGAAGCAUAUGGUACCAUAUCCGUUUACAAUCUUUUCUUAUUAACUUUUGGAACACCAGAGUUUCCACUUCCAUUACCCUUGACUAUAAGAACAGGCGUAGGUUUUCUCGUAUGCAUGCUUUAGAGAUCUUUCUUAGCAUGUCCAUGCGACAUUCCUAAUACCCCCUUUUAUUCUUUUGAACUUUGAGGACAAGAACUUCUUUUCUCCUCCUGCAGUAGAUUGACAUCACCACUAGCAAGUAGGACAUCAUCCACAUGCAUAGGAAUUGGGAAACGAAUUUCCCAUUCUAUGACUUUGCAUGAAUGCAAUUGUCCUCUCAUUUUCUUUGCACAAAAUCUUUCGAUUUAAGUCAUGUUUUACACCUUUACAUAUUUCCUUUGGAGUCACAUUUGCCUUGUAGACCCUUCAUAAAAUCUAUGUUAGUGAAAUUCAAAUGAUGGAAUUCCACUAACAUAGACUUUAUAGUAGUCACAAGUAUCUGAUUUUCACAUGCCUAGAGACCAUCAAAAUCUCAGGUACUGGCACUUAUUUCAUAUGGGGUUGUCGUUGCUCUGUCAUUGCCAAGAGGCAAAUUCAUUCUAUAGUCACCCAUUUCCAAAAGGCAAUAGGUUUUACAGGGACCUGUAUCACAAGAUCCCUUGUAGAGCUAACAACAGGUGUUGUAUAGGUCAUACAACACGCUCCCCAGAUUACUCCAUCUUCACUGAAGAAAUGGCGUAUCUUUAAACUUUCUUCUUUAUGGCACUUUAAGCACCACCGUUGUAUUCCUUAGUCUGCAUUCGGAACUAUAAAAGAUCCAAAAAUACAACUGUUUCUUUUCUUUAGGGGUAUCAUAAUGACGGUAUUCAGAUGACUGUCGUACUCCCCUUGACAAUCACAUUCUUCAUUAAUGGAUCACUUUAGAUGCAUAAUGUGCAUCACAUCAUCUAAAGUACAGAGGAGUCAUGAAAUACAUUACAAUGUAUUUCAUGUCUCUUUCUCCCCCUCGAAAUGUGGCAAGAACUUUUCUGCCACAAUUUCGAAACCCAUUCAUAGCUCUUGUGAAAUGAGGAAACUUCGAUUGUCUAGCUCAUUCAUCUUAUCUCUUCAUGUAAAAUGAAGUUAUAAGUUAACUAGUAUGGGAGUACUUUUUCCUCAUUUCAUUUCAGAAACUCAACAGANGCGAACCUCGUAACCCUUGCCAUGGUCCCCACCUCCUCUACAUAUAGCACUGCGCGACAGGGGCCCACCAGCCUUGCUUGGGCUGGACGCCCCCGAUCAGGGCGUGAGUCAAGGUCCAAUGGGCCGUUGGGCCCAUUG
rnacentral:lncRNA from 1 species